UGCGAUAACAGAACAGAAACUCAGUCUCUUGGAAGAAGACGACGGUCAGCUUUCGAGGUUAAUCUCACUACAUUUGAAGUUCAGGCUGGUGACGUUGUGAGUGACGUAAAGAUGGAGAGCACAUUGUUCGUUGUUAGCAGUCCGAAGACAGCCGCGGAAGCUAAGAAACUGUCGGAAACCAAUGAAGAAAACAUCUCACCCUUCCUACACUCCGGAACGGCCGUGUGUCUCAGCACUACUGUGGUAAUCUGGUCCGCUGCUGUCCUUGGAAUAAUCCAGAUUGUUCUGCUCGUGUCCUGCACGUUUCUCGUGUUUAUCAAUAGGCGACAACGUCACAAUAGACCUUGUCAUUGUGGCAGUCGAGCUUCUAUCUCCAGCAAGACUAAGCUCUUCACGUCAUAGACAAACUGUGAUGCCGAAUGACAACAACAUGAAGCGUCUUUCUUUUCUUGUUUUUUUUCUUGGUUCUUUCGAAACCAACUUGUUUACCAGUUUACACUUUAACCCAAUCAUAUUGCAACAUACAGCCAGCCCUACAUUUAAUGGUUUACCCAGUCAUAUUGUUACAUACAACCUUAAGUUCAAUGGUUUACUCAAUCAUAUUGCAACAUACAGCCAGCCCUACAUUUAAUGGUUUACCCAGUCAUAUUGUUACAUACAACCUUAAGUUCAAUGGUUUACUCAAUCAUAUUGCAACAUACAGCCAGCCCUACAUUUAAUGGUUUACCCAAUCAUAUUGUUACACACAGCCUUACGUCUAAUACAUACAACUUUAUGUCUAAUGGUUUACCCAAUCAUAUUGUUACAUACAACCUUACGUCUAAUGGUUUACCCAAUCAUAUUGUUACAUACAACCUUACGUCUAAUGAUUUACGCAAUCAUAUUGUUACAUACAACCUUACGUCUAAUGUUUUACCCAAUCACAUUGUUACAUACAACCUUACGUUUAAUGGUUUACCCAGUCAUAGUGUUACAUACAACCUUACGUCUAAUGGUUUACCCAAUCAUAUUGUUACAUACAACCUUACGUUUUAUGGUUUACCCAAUCAUAGUGUUACAUACAACCUUACGUCUAAUGGUUUAUGUAAUCAUAUUGUUACAUACAGCCUUACGUCUAAUACAUACAACUUUAUGUCUAAUGGUUUACCCAAUCAUAUUGUUACAUAAAAUCUUACGUCUAAUGGUUUACGCAAUCAUAUUGUUACAUACAACCUUACGUCUAAUGGUUUACGCAAUCAUAUUGUUACAUACAACCUUACGUCUAAUGGUUUACCCAAUCAUAUUCUUACAUACAACCUUACGUCUAAUGGUUUACCUAAUCAUAUUGUUACAUAUAAUCUUACGUCUAAUGGUUUACCAAAUCAUAUUCUUACAUACAACCUGACAUCUAAUGGUUUACCCAAUCAUAUUGUUACACACAGCCUUACGUCUAAUACAUACAACUUUAUGUCUAAUUGUUUACCCAAUCAUAUUGUUACAUACAAUCUUACGUCUAAUGGUUUACCCAAUCAUAUUGUUACAUACAACCUUACGUCUAAUGGUUUACCCAAUCAUAUUGUUACAUACAACCUUACGUCUAAUGGUUUACCCAAUCAUAUUGUUGCAUAUAGCCUUACGUCUAAUGGUUUACCCAAUCAUAUUCUUACAUACAACUAUACGUCUAAUGGUUUACCCAAUCAUAUUGUUACAUACAAUCUUACGUCUAAUGGUUUACCCAAUCAUAUUGUUACAUACAACCUUACGUCUAAUGGUUUACCCAAUCACAUUCUUACAUACAACUAUACGUCUAAUGGUUUACCUAAUCAUAUUGCUACAUACAACCUUACGUCUAAUACAUACAACUUUAUGUCUAAUGAUUUACCCAGUCAUAUUGUUACAUACGGCCUAAUGGUUUACCCAGUCAUAUUGUUACAUACACCUUUUUGACUUUAUAGGCUUUAUUUUCCUUGAAUGUUUUGUUAUUGUUAUUCAUAUACGGAUUAAACGUGCUGCUCUUUGCAUGUUCAACAAUAUUGUUUCUUAAAUGUUUUCACCAAUGGAAAAGAAUGGAGAGUUUCCAGUAAACACCCUGUGUACAAUGUUUGUUUUUAUAUAGUAACUAGUUUUGAUAUAGCCUCAAUAAUAAGUGGAAUUUUUACGUACAUUUCGUGUAGACUAGGAAAUCUAAUCGAAUAUUUUUGAGAAACAAUUUUGUGUGUUAAAAAACGUUUAUUAUGAACAAAAUAAUUACAAAAUGAGUAUUCAAAUAAAACUGACCAUAAUUUCCGUGUCAUAUAAUACCGUUAUUCUAACGCAAUAACCUAUAUUUGUUACACUAACAUAGAACUUUGGAAAUAAUAUGUUAGCAAAAAUUUUGUUUUUAAAGAUGAUCAAUGUGACAAUAGACUGUUGAGUGCCUCAUUAAAAUGUUUAUGUAUUUCAAUCGUAUACUUAUCAUACACUGUUGGUGUUUUCGUAUAUAUCACAUCUUCAUCAGUUAGUUAUCGGGAGGGAAGAAAAGGGUUUUUUUUAUGUGGAAUAUUUUUCUCUACUGUAAGCCAAUAUAUAUUUAUUCUGUCCAAUUACUAGAGGUCUCUCUUUCACUGUGACGCGUUUCUUCAUCGUUACUUGGGAAAAUCCAGAUGAAAACUUUGAUCUUGUUACAUGUAAGUCACGUCACCCCAAGCGGAGACGUUUGAUUUUGUUACAUGUAAGUCACACCACUCCUGGGUGAGGCAUGUUUUCUUGUGACAUGUAAGUCACACCACUCUUAGGUAAGAUAUCUUCUUCUUUCUUCAGAAGGGGGGGGGCAUCGGUAGCACUUGGUAAUAAGCUGGUUUUGAUUAUUUUAAAAUUUUAAUAAGUUGUACAGGAAAGCUGUUUUUAGUGCUAAUGCUUGGUGAUGUAACUGUUGCUUGUGGUACAAUAAAUGUUGUGUUUGUUAA